AUGCAGGACAAUCUGUCUUUAAGUAGGAAUAAAUUAAAAUAAAUGGAUACAAGUUUCUCCAAGUCAAGUGUCUUGU
rnacentral:pre_miRNA from 1 species